rnacentral:rRNA from 1 species
UCGGGUUGUAAAGCACUUUUGUCCGGAAAGAAAUCUUCUGCCCUAAUAUGGCGGGGGGAUGACGGUACCGGAAGAAUAAGCACCGGCUAACUACGUGCCAGCAGCGCGGUAAUCGUAGGGUGCGAGCGUUAAUCGGAAUUACCGGGCGUAAAGCGUGCGCAGGCGGUCCGCUAGGACCGAUGUGAAAUCCCCGGGCUUAACCUGGGAACUGCAUUGGUGACUGGCGGGCUAGAGUAUGGCAGAGGGGGGUAGAAUUCCACGUGUAGCAGUGAAAUGCGUAGAGAUGUGGAGGAAUACCGAUGGCGAAGGCAGCCCCCUGGGCCAAUACUGACGCUCAUGCACGAAAGCGUGGGGAGCAAACAGGAUUAGAUACCCUGGUAGUCCACGCCCUAAACGAUGUCAACUAGUUGUCGGGCCUUCAUUGGCUUGGUAACGUAGCUAACGCGUGAAGUUGACCGCCUGGGGAGUACGGUCGCAAGAUUAAAACUCAAAGGAAUUGACGGGGACCCGCACAAGCGGUGGAUGAAUGUGGAUUAAUUCGAUGCAACGCGAAAAACCUUACCUACCCUUGACAUGUAUGGAAUCCUGCUG